rnacentral:rRNA from 1 species
UCUUCGGCAAUGGACGCAAGUCUGACCGAGCAACGCCGCGUGAGUGAAGAAGGUUUUCGGAUCGUAAAACUCUGUCGUAAGAGAACCCCGUUGAUGAGAGUGGAAAGUUCAUCAAGUGACGGUAUCUUACCAGAAAGCCACGGCUAACUACGUGCCAGCAGCCGCGGUAAUACGUAGGUGGCAAGCGUUGUCCGGAUUUAUUGGGCGUAAAGCGAGCGCAGGCGGUUGAUUAAGUCUGAUGUGAAAGCCCCCGGCUCAACCGGGGAGGGUCAUUGGAAACUGGUCAACUUGAGUGCAGAAGAGGCGAGUGGAAUUCCAUGUGUAGCGGUGAAAUGCGUAGAUAUAUGGAGGAACACCAGGGCGAAGGCGGCUCUCUGUCUGUAACUGACGCUGAGGCUCGA